CACUGCUGAGGAGUCCCAUACUAGGACGAAACGGCCGUCUAGGGU
rnacentral:hammerhead_ribozyme from 1 species